UACGGAGGGUGCGAGCGUUGUCCGGAAUCACUGGGCGUAAAGGGCGCGUAGGCGGCCUGAUAAGUAGGGGGUGAAAUCCUGCGGCUUAACCGCAGGGCUGCCUUCUAAACUGUCAGGCUAGAGCACAGUAGAGGCAGGUGGAAUUCCCGGUGUAGCGGUGGAAUGCGUAGAUAUCUGGAGGAACACCGGUGGCGAAGGCGGCAUCCUGGACCGGUAUUGACACUGAAAAGCGAAAGCCAGGGGAGCAAACGGG
rnacentral:rRNA from 1 species